AACGCGUGGGUAAUCUGCCUCAUACAGGGGAAUAACAGCUAGAAAUGGCUGCUAAUGCCGCAUAAGCGCACAGGACCGCAUGGUCUGGUGUGAAAAACUCCGGUGGUAUGAGAUGAACCCGCGUCUGAUUAGUUAGUUGGCAGGGUAACGGCCUACCAAGACGACGAUCAGUAGCCGGCCUGAGAGGGUGGACGGCCACAUUGGGACUGAGACACGGCCCAG
rnacentral:rRNA from 1 species